ensembl:misc_RNA 7SK 7SK RNA
GGAUGUGAGGGCAAUCUGGCUGCUACAUCUGUCUCCCCAUUGAUCGCCAGGGCUGAUUGGCUGAUCUGGCUGGCUAGAUGGUGUCCCCUUCCUCCCCCACUGCUCCAUGUGCGGCCCUCCUGGAGCUGUGCGCUCCAUCGAAGAGGGUGACCUUCCCUGAGUAGAGGAGUACCAGUCUUUGAUCAAGGGUAUAGGAGUAGCUCCACUCCCCUGCUAGAACCUCCAAACAAGCUCUCAAGGUCCAUACCAUUUAGCUUAUGUUAAAUGCUCUAAGUAAUUAAGAGACAAUUUCAGUUUACAAGAGGACUGUAUGGUUUA